GUGGCUGCCUGGUGACAGCUCAGCUCUGCAGCCACCACCAGUUGCAGCUCUGUGCGACUGCAUGCAGAGCCCAAGAAACACCUACAUUUUAUUAAAACAACGAAACCCAGCCAGCACAGGUGGGAGCAGCACUUACCCACAACCAAAAGUUUAGGAAAGGAAAACUACUGUAAGUGCCCUAGGAGUACUCCUGACAGUGCCUGCAACAGGUCACCUGGCCAGGUUGCUAAAUAAUAUUACACGCACCAACUACAGGGCUUACAAUCAUGGAGCCUUGCUUUCUAUAUGACUCCAGAGAAUUGGACCAAGAAACAAUCAACGGAUGAAACCCUGCAAAUGGAUUGAUUUUCAGUGGAUGACGGUUUUUAAGGAGAAAAAAAAAAAAAGAAAAAAAGACCAGGUGACAAUGCAUGCUGCUUCCUCGAUGUUACCACCCGUUAUAAAGAAAUGGUCCGGAGAUCAUAUUCAUGGAUCAUAGCUGAUAAAAAGCAAAACGUGCACACCUACCAUGCAUCUCUUGAUGGGUUUGUUCACUUUGAUGCUGUUCCUCAAGUUAUUUUCAGCUACAAGUGAUCAACUUUGCAACUUUUUCGUGUGAGAGUUAGAAAUGUUUUUUCCGCCGAGCUGUGACGUCAGAUUCUGAUUGGUUCCCAGCAGUCCCAUCAUCACAUUUAUUGUGGACCUGUUAUGUUUGUGUUUUACAAAAGGGGAACUGAAGAAAAAUGAGUGUACAAAAAGAACAUGGUUAUGGGUUCAAUCACUUGAGGUCAAGGGUUACGAAAAUCACAUCAGUAAAACUUAUGGCUGCAUGAAUUAAAGAAAUGGACAGAAAAUUGAUCUACUGAACAGUUUGCCACCACCACUGGUUUAAAGAAUGUUUGUUGGUGAAGUCAGUCCUGGAAGGUUCCUUAUCUCCUGAAACCAGAGAGCACCUUUACGGUUUUACCUACCACCAACAGCUUUUAGUUGGGCAAUAUGAUACGAUGCCUGAAUAUGACACAAGGACUGUUUAUGUCUAAGGCUUAUGCUCUACUACAAAAUGAGACUUUCCAUCCUUAUUGGAUCACUUCAGGAAAGACCAGGAAACAAUCAUUCCCACAAAUAUUCCACAGCAAAGUUCAAUGUCCAUGAAUGUCCAUUGAAUGCAACUAAUCAGGUACCAGUCCAUCUAUCCUGGAAUCAAUAUUGUUGACCCAAUUCCAGUAUCCCCAGUUUAUGCUAUGUAAACGGAUAUUUACUCUGCUUAUAAAGACUAAUUAAGACUCUUCAAAACAGUAUAU